rnacentral:tRNA from 1 species
GGGGAUGUAGCCCAGCUGGUUAGAGCGCCUCGUUCACAUCGAGGAGGUCACAGGUUCGAGCCCUGUUAUCCCCACCA